rnacentral:snRNA from 1 species
UUACCACUCUGGCCUUUUGGCUUAGAUCAAGUGUAGUAUCUGUUCUUAAUAGGUGAGCCAUUAGGCGCGGGUUCGAGCCCUCCAGCGAUCGUUUUACUUACCUUUCUUUCUCGCAGUUUAACCACUAUUAUGGAGGCACCGCCUCCAUUCUUGGUUAUCUUAUUUUUGCCGCCCUUGCUCCCUGUCCUCUGCUUGCACGACGGGGACGUGAUGACCUUGCCGCUGCACUACUGGCUUGUGUCGUCGGGGGAUC